GACGAACGCUGGCGGCGUGCUUAACACAUGCAAGUCGAACGGAAAGACCCUGCUUUUGUGGGGUGCUCGAGUGGCGAACGGGUGAGUAACACGUGAGUAACCUGCCCUUGACUUUGGGAUAACUUCAGGAAACUGGGGCUAAUACCGGAUAGGAGCUCCUGCUGCAUGGUGGGGGUUGGAAAGUUUCGGCGGUUGGGGAUGGACUCGCGGCUUAUCAGCUUGUUGGUGGGGUAGUGGCUUACCAAGGCUUUGACGGGUAGCCGGCCUGAGAGGGUGACCGGCCACAUUGGGACUGAGAUACAGCCCAGACUCCUACGGGAGGCAGCAGUGGGGAAUAUUGCACAAUGGGCGGAAGCCUGAUGCAGCAACGCCGCGUGCGGGAUGACGGCCUUCGGGUUGUAAACCGCUUUCGCCUGUGACGAAGCGUGAGUGACGGUAAUGGGUAAAGAAGCACCGACUAACUACGUG
rnacentral:rRNA from 1 species